rnacentral:rRNA from 1 species
UAUAACAUAGUGUUAAUACACCGGAUCCCACUAGAACUCGGCAGUUAAGGGCACUCAGGUUAGAGUAGUACUGGGAUGGGUGACUGGUCGAGAAGUCCUAGUGUUUUAC